GUGCUUGCUUUAGCAGCACACAUACUAAAAUUGGAACAACACAAAGAAGACUAGCAAUGGCCCCGGUGCAAGGAUGACACACAAAUUCAUGAAGUGUUCCAUAGUUUU
ensembl:snRNA U6 U6 spliceosomal RNA